rnacentral:rRNA from 1 species
AUUGAACGCUGGCGGAAUGCUUUACACAUGCAAGUCGAACGGCAGCACGGACUUCGGUCUGGUGGCGAGUGGCGAACGGGUGAGUAAUACAUCGGAACGUGCCCAGUCGUGGGGGAUAACGUAGCGAAAGCUACGCUAAUACCGCAUACGAUCUACGGAUGAAAGCGGGGGAUCGCAAGACCUCGCGCGAUUGGAGCGGCCGAUGGCAGAUUAGGUAGUUGGUAGGGUAAAGGCCUACCAAGCCGACGAUCUGUAGCUGGUCUGAGAGGAUGAUCAGCCACACUGGGACUGAGACACGGCCCAGACUCCUACGGGAGGCAGCAGUGGGGAAUUUUGGACAAUGGGCGCAAGCCUGAUCCAGCCAUUCCGCGUGCAGGAUGAAGGCCUUCGGGUUGUAAACUGCUUUUGUACAGAACGAAAAGGCUCUGGUUAAUACCUGGGGCUCAUGACGGUACUGUAAGAAUCAGCACCGGCUAACUACGUGCCAGCAGCCGCAGUAA